rnacentral:lncRNA from 1 species
CCAAUACAGGUCGGUAACGAUCGAUUUCGACCAUUACCACCCGAUACAGCCUCGUAUUGCCCGAUACAGGGUUAAAACUUUGGUACCGCUUGAUAGCGGGCAAUCCGCAUGCCAAGAAGCUCUCAGAUCGAUACAUACCACCCAUACCAGGCAGUACACAUCGAAAUUAAAAACCUUGGGUGGACCUCUCUUUAGUGGACUCCCAUCCUAACCAAGAAUUAACUCGUAAUAGAAUAUAUUAAGUCCCAACUAACUCUAACUUAAAAGUAUCAUGAUAAUCCUCCCAAAAUACAUGAAAGAUAGUAAAAGUAGCAUCAGAAGUAUAUAAUAGGAUCUUAAGUCUAAGUUGGAUUCAAUAGACUUAUCAUUAACUGGCAACUAACCUAAAUCCAGGUUACAUUAGUAGCCUAAUAAUUAUCCAGUACCAAGGCCUGACAAAAUUUACUACAAGAAAGUCAGAUAUACAAGGUAUGAUAUUUAUUGCACGUAUGUAUAACCAUGCAGGUCUUCAAAAGACAAGUCUAAAGCAAGCAUGAUUCUUGAAACAUUGCAUCACCAAGAAAAUAUCUAUACAUGUAGAUAUCAGUGAUUUCAAUAGGCGCUCGGGCGCUCGCCUAGGCGCUCGGGCGAGGCGAGGC